GGAAGUAAAAGUCGUAACAAGGUCUCCGUUGGUGAACCAGCGGAGGGAUCAUUACCGAGUUUACAAACUCCCAACCCUAUGUGAACCUUACCUAUCGUUGCUUCGGCGGGCUUAGCCCCCGCGCCCUCACCGGCGCCGGGAGACAGGCGCCCGCCGGGGACCCCAAACUCAAUGUUUUUCAUGCAGUAUUUCUGAGUGGCAAACGCAAAAAAUAAAUCAAAACUUUUAACAACGGAUCUCUUGGCUCUGGCAUCGAUGAAGAACGCAGCGAAAUGCGAUAAGUAAUGUGAAUUGCAGAAUUCAGUGAAUCAUCGAAUCUUUGAACGCACAUUGCGCCCGCGAGUAUUCUCGCGGGCAUGCCUGUCCGAGCGUCAUUUCAACCCUCAGGGCCCGCCUGCUUCGGCAGGCGCGGCGCUGGCGUUGGGGAUCGGCCCUAACCGGUCGUCCCCCAAAUACAGUGGCGGUCUCGCUGCAGCCUCCCCUGCGUAGUAGCAACACUCGCAUGCGGAGCGCGGCGCGGCCACGCCGUAAAACCCCCGACUUUCUGAACGUUGACCUCGGAUCAGGUAGGAAUACCCGCUGAACUUAAGCAUAUCAAUAAGCGGAGGA
rnacentral:rRNA from 1 species